GACGAACGCUGGCGGCGUGCCUAAUACAUGCAAGUCGAGCGAAUAGAUUAAGAGCUUGCUCUUAUGAAGUUAGCGGCGGACGGGUGAGUAACACGUGGGUAACCUGCCCAUAAGACUAGGAUAACUCCGGGAAACCGGGGCUAAUACCGGAUAACAUUUUGAACCGCAUGGUUCGAAAUUGAAAGGCGGCUUCGGCUGUCACUUAUGGAUGGACCCGCGUCGCAUUAGCUAGUUGGUGAGGUAACGGCUCACCAAGGCAACGAUGCGUAGCCGACCUGCGAGGGUGAUCGGCCACACUGGGACUGAGACACGGCCCAGACUCCUACGGGAGGCAGCAGUAGGGAAUCUUCCGCAAUGGACGAAAGUCUGACGGAGCAACGCCGCGUGAGUGAUGAAGGCUUUCGGGUCGUAAAACUCUGUUGUUAGGGAAGAACAAGUGCUAGUUGAAUAAGCUGGCACCUUGACGGUACCUAACCAGAAAGCCACGGCUAACUACGUGCCAGCCGCCGCAGUAA
rnacentral:rRNA from 1 species